AAUGAACGCUAGCGGCAGGCCUAAUACAUGCAAGUCGAACGGUGUCUUCGGACAUAGUGGCGCACGGGUGCGUAACACGUAUGCAACCUACCUUACAUUGGGGGAUAGCCUUUCGAAAGGGAGAUUAAUACCGCAUAAGACAGUAGCUGGGCAUCCAGCAGCUGUUAAAGAUUUAUCGAUGUAAGCUGGGCAUGCGUCCAAUUAGCUAGUUGGUGAGGUAACGGCUCACAAAGGCAAUGAUUGGUAGGGGAACUGAGAGGUCAAUCCCCCACACUGGCACUGAGAUACGGGCCAGACUCCUACGGGAGGCAGCAGUAGGGAAUAUUGGGCAAUGGACGCAAGUCUGACCCAGCCAUGCCGCGUGCAGGAUGAAGGCGUUAUGCGUUGUAAACUGCUUUUAUACAGGAAGAAACGACUCUUGCGAGAGGCAUUGACGGUACUGUAUGAAUAAGCACCGGCUAACUCCGUGCCAGCAGCCGCCGUAAGAC
rnacentral:rRNA from 1 species